UGCGUAGGUGGCAAGCGAUGUCCGGAAUUAUUGGGCGUAAAGCGCGCGCAGGCGGUUAUGUAAGUCUGAUGUUAAAGCCCCUGGCUCAACUUCGGUUCGCAUUGGAAACUGUGUAACUUGAGUGCAGAAGAGGAAAGUGGUAUUCCACGUGUAGCGGUGAAAUGCGUAGAUAUGUGGAGGAACACCAGUGGCGAAGGCGACUUUCUGGUCUGUAACUGACGCUGAGGCGCGAAAGCGUGGGGAGCUAACAGG
rnacentral:rRNA from 1 species